GUCUAACCCUUCCGCGGUCUGUUUAGCUACGACCAGUGAGAUCAUGGAAGUAGAAGCAGGGUUGCCAUUUUCCCGAAAUUGGGCUACUUAGAAAACAUUUGUCGCGGGUUGCUGGUUUUUGGGCUACUUAGCCAACUUAUGCUUGAUCCGAAAAUGUGGUCGUAGGCGCCGUAUGGAUAGUGUGACGUAAUUUCGGAGCCUCCUGAGGCAUGCAAGAGGCCAAAUUGCGCUCAGUACUGCAUCACCAUGCUUAGCCCAAAUUUUGUAAAACUGUGGAGGGCUCCCUAUAGCUUUUGGCAUGAUUGGUUGACGGUAGGAGGGGUCGGGAGGUCCAGUAUGAAAACAAAGUGACUUCCUUAACAACUUCCUUCACAACAGCUCUGCACUACUCCUUUAAGAGCGGGAAGUAUGAAGCCCUGCCUUCUACAGAGGCCGUAUCACCGUAAAUGCUGCACGGCCAAUGCAGACGGCAGAUUGACCAUGUAGCACCUUUACGUUGCACCACGGCCACCAUGGCAUUUCUCUUAAAAAAUAUAUAAGUUAUUCACUGUGACCUGCUGCUGCUGACUUUCAGGCAGUGAGCAGGCUGUUACCGAGGGAGUGGUGGGAAGGGGGAGGGCCUGGAGUUUGUGCGUGUGUGUUGAGAGCACUGGUUGAGAGAGCACUGCAGCAGGCAGCUGAGUCACGGAGAGAGAGCAGCCAGCGCACAAGUCGUGACAAUUUUUUGCCAGUUGUAUGUAGGCUAUUUAUAUUGUUCAUUAUGGAGACACAUAUUUCCAACUCUUUUUCUUUAAAACAUAUUAACGUGCUAGAACUGAUAUAAAGGCCACAAAGCACUGGAAAACGUCAUUCGGCACACUAGAGCGCUUUAAAAUACUUUCGCUCAGAGGUAGCUUAAUAAAGUAAACUGCAGUCUGUCGACUUGCCUAUUGAAAUAACAAGUCAAUCUCGCAAAUAAGCCAUUUAUAACGGUUUGUACUCUUAAGGAUCCGCCCCUUUUUUUCAAUUUUCGCCUAAAAUGACAUACCAAAAUCUGACUGCCUGUAGCUCAAGCCCUGAAGCAAGGAUAUGCAUAUUCUUGGUACCAUUUAAAAGGAAACACUUUUAAGUUUGUGGAAAUGUAUAAGGAAUGUAGGACAAUAUAACACAACAGAUAUGGUAAAAGAUAAUACAAAGAGAAAAAAAACUGUUCUUUGUAUUUUUUUGUACCAUCAUUUUGAAAUGCAAGAGAAAGGCCAGAAUGUAUUAUUCCAGCCCAGGUGCAAUUUAGAUUUUGGCCUCUAGGUGGCAGCAGUGUACGUGCAAAGUUUUAGACUGAUCCAAUGAACCAUUGUAAUUCUGUUCAAUAUUUUGAACCAAAUGUGCCUAAUUUGUUUAUUAAUAACUUUUCCUGUUCACAAUUGUGCACUUUCCUCAAACAAUAGCAUGGUAUUCUUUCACCGUAAUAGCUACUGUAAAUUGGACAGUGCAGUUAGAUUAACAAGAAUUUAAGCUUUCUGCCAAUAUCAGAAAUGUCUAUGUCCUGGGAAAUGUUCUUGCUACUUACAACCUCAUGCAAAUCGCAUUAGGCUACGUUAGCUCAACCAUCCCGUGGAAGGGACACCGAUCCCGAAGAAGUAAAAAAUGAACAUCUGGCACAUAAUAAUGGCACAAUUGCCAGAAAAUAGCUUAACAUUUGUUUUUUGAAGUGUUUCUUGCACGCGAUUUCGAGAUUCUCUGUCCAACUUUCAAAACAUGUAUGUUUACUGCUCUAAUUACUUUGGUAACCCAUUUAUAAUAUCAAUUAGGCACCUCAGGAGUUUGUGGUAGGCCUAUAUGGUCAAUAUAUAGUGCAUUCAGAAUAUAUUCAGACCUCUUGUAUUUUUCCACAUUUUGUUACGUUACAGCCUUAUUCAAAAAAAUAUUUUAAAAAAAUCCCUCAUCUAUCUACACACAAUACCCCAUAAAGCAAAAACAGGUUUUUAGAAAUGUUUGCAAAUGUAUAUAUAUUUUUUUCACUAAAAUAUUAUAUUUACUUAAGUAUUCAGACCUUUUACUCAGUACUUUGUUGAAGCAUCUUUGGCAGCGAUUACAGCCUUGAGUCUUCUUGGGUAUGACGCUACAAGCUUGGCACACCUGUAUUUAGGGCGUUUCUCCCAUUCUUCUCUGCAGGUCCUCUCAAGCUCUGUCAGGUUGGAUGGGGAGCGUCACUGCACAACUAUUAUCAGGUCUCUCCAGAGAUGUUCGAUCGGGUUCAAUUCCGGGCUCUGAUUGGGCCACUCCUGCCUUGUCUUGGGGUCGUUGUCCUGUUGGAAGGUGAACCUUUUCCCCAGUUUGAGGUCCUGAACACUGGAGCAGGUUUUCAUCAAGGAUCUCUCUGUACUUUGCUCUGUUCAUUUUCCCCUCGAUCCUGACUAGUCUCCCAGUCCCUGGCACUGAAAAACAUCUCCACAGCAUGAUGCUGCCACCACCAUGCUUCACCGUAAGGACGGUGCCAGGUUUCCUCCAGAUGUGACGCUUGGCAUUCAGUCCAAAGAGUUCAAUCUUGGCUUCAUCUGACCAGAUAAUCUUGUUUCUCAUGGUCUGAAUCCUUUAGGUGCUGUCAUGCUUUUUACUGAGGAGUGGCUUCCGUCUGGCCUUUCUACCAUAAAGGCCUGAUUGGUGGAGUGCUGCAGAGAUGGUUGUCCUUCUGGAAGUUUCUCCCAUCUCCACAGAGGAACUCUGGAGCUCUGUGAGAGUGACCAUCGGGCUCUUGGUCACCUCCCUGAGCAAGGCCCUUCUCCCCCGAUUGCUCAGUUUUGCCAGGCUGACAGCUCUAGGAAGACUCUUGGUGGUUCCAACCUUCUUCCAUUUAGGUAUGAUGGAGGCCAGUGUGUUCUUGGGGAACUUCAAUGCUGCAGACAUUUUUGGUACCCUUUCCCAGAUCUGGGCCUCUACACAAUCCUGUCUCGGGGCUCAAUUUCUUCAACCUCGUGGCUUCGUUUUUGCUCUGUAACGUAGCAAAAUGUGGGAAAAGGGAAGGAGUCUGAAUACUUUCCGAAUGCACUGUUCCACGGCUAAGGGCUGUGUCCUAAGAACAACACUUAGCCAUGGUAUAUUGGCCAUAUACCACACCUCCUCAGACCUUGUUGCUUAAUCAUAGCAGUCAAAACAAGUUAACUCGACAUUCAUUGACGGAAAAUUAUCUGGUGAGUUAAGGGCAAAUUAUAUUUUCUCUUGUAACAUAUUUUUAAGCUCGCAAUCAUUACUAUUUUGAUGGAAAACCGAAUUUUGCUUCUUAGCCUACGUCGUUACAAAUGACUUCGAAUUUCCUUCUUAAAAUGCUUGACAACCUUAUGGGAAAAGGGUUCAUCAAAUAAAUGUGGCAGCUCCUCUCUUGCUGCAAACACAAAAUGUUGGGCUAGUUUUCAGGCCUCGUGAGCGGGUUUUGAUAGAUCAUUGGGCUAGAAAUUUCAACUAGACCUGGCAACCCUGAGUAGGAGGUACCUUUGAAAGUGAAGUUAACCUAUUGCAGUUUCGUCUUUGUCGGACCUAAAUCUUUGUACGGCCUUGUCUCUAGUCUUGACAAAUAUGUAGAAUUUGAGCUGUGACAUUUGAGUUAUUAUUUUUGUCCCUAGUGUUGUGUUAUGUGUAUUUUGAAUGAAUAAAUAUGAUGUUUUAGUAAAUUGAAGUGAGACAAAAAGUGCAUUUAGUAGCAGAGAGGUUUCCAAACAAGCUCACCUGAAACAGAAAAUGUCAGUAUUUAUGAAUUUCUUCAUGGUAAGAGAGGCCUACUCGCAAGUGGCAACAAGUCUGUCAUUUACAUGCAUUUCAUCUAUCGUCAAUAUUUAACCUUCAUCCACAGGUGUGUGUUUAUUACAUCCAUAGGUGUGUGCUGUCUGGCACUGGUCAAGUAGCCAUUGACUUCAGACUUUGAACUGUGACCCUGAAGCUGUACUCCUGAGGUUCUCCAGGAUGGCAGGGUGAGGGGCUGACACGAUGGUGCAUGAUGGAGGGGACACAAUAUCAGAUGUCAGUUUUCCAUUUGGAGAGGGGGUGUCUGGCGGAGGAAGAAGUAGUAUCUCUGUGUCUGAUGAGGGAGAGGAGGCUUUCUAUGUGCCUGAAAGGAGACCCUCCCUGGACAAUGGCCUGUGACCCAUGUACACGGCGCAUAUUAUUGCCCACAAUAAUGUUUCCUGUUUGUCCAAGUCUUGAUCCUUUCAUCAUCCAUCCUCAAUCAUUGAUAUUUGAUGUGUGUUUAGUAGGCAUGAUGUGAAAAAGGCUCGAUCAUUGUCCAUGUGAUGUUCUAUGUACAGAUGUUCUAUGUACAGAGUCCAGCAGCAAAGAACAGAGUCUUACUCCAGCUGCUACUCUUUGGACAGUGAUGACUGUGAGACCAGAACCAGGAAGUCUCAACGUUUCCUGCAGUGGAACUUCCUCCAAGACCAGAGCUGAUCAAAAACCCAGAUGAGAAGAGGCACCCUGCCCUGACUGUAGACUUCACCUUCAAGGCCAUCAGAAAGACACUGGAGAAGCUGGGGAAGGAUGAUCUGAGGAAGUUUAAGAUCAUGCUGUGGAAGCGUUACCCAGAGUUGUUCAGUGCUCCUCCCCAGGGCAUGGACAUGGUGACUUGGUGGACAGGCUGCUGGAGUGUUAUGACCUAGAGGUGGCCCUGCAGCUCACCAAGGCCCUGUCGAAGGACAUGGGCCUCAAGCGCCUGGCUGACUUCCUCAGGGACAUUUGCAAAAGAGUGUGUUCCAGUUCCCGCUAAUAUCCAGCAACUUCGCACAGCCAUCGAAGAGGAGAGGGACAACAUUCCACAGGCCACAAUCAACAGCCUGAUCAACUCUAUGCAAAGGAGAU
rnacentral:lncRNA from 1 species